GUGCCAGCAGCCGCGGUAAUACGGAGGAUGCAAGCGUUAUCCGGAUUUAUUGGGUUUAAAGGGUGCGUAGGCGGGAUAAUAAGUCAGUGGUGAAAACCUGCAGCUUAACUGUAGAACUGCCAUUGAUACUGUUAUUCUUGAGUGUGGUCAAGGUAGGCGGAAUGUGUAAUGUAGCGGUGAAAUGCUUAGAUAUUACACAGAACACCGAUUGCGAAGGCAGCUUGCUGGGCCAUUACUGACGCUCAUGCACGAAAGCGUGGGGAUCGAACAGGAUUAGAUACCCUGGUAGUCCACGCCGUAAACGAUGAUCACUCGCUGUUGGCGAUACACAGUCAGCGGCUAAGCAAAAGCAUUAAGUGAUCCACCUGGGGAGUACGGCCGCAAGGCUGAAACUUAAAGGAAUUGACGGGG
rnacentral:rRNA from 1 species